GAUGAACGCUGGCGGCGUGCCUAAUACAUGCAAGUCGAACGCUGAAGGAGGAGCUUGCUCUUCUGGAUGAGUUGCGAACGGGUGAGUAACGCGUAGGUAACCUGCCUGGUAGCGGGGGAUAACUAUUGGAAACGAUAGCUAAUACCGCAUGACAACAGUUAUUACAUGAUAACUGUUUAAAAGGGGCAACUGCUCCACUACCAGAUGGACCUGCGUUGUAUUAGCUAGUUGGUGAGGUAACGGCUCACCAAGGCGACGAUACAUAGCCGACCUGAGAGGGGGAGCGGCCACACUGGGACUGAGACACGGCCCAGACGCCUACGGGAGGCAGCAGUAGGGAAUCUUCAGCAAGAGACGGAAGUCUGACCGAGCAACGCCGCGUGAGUGAAGAAGGUUUUCGGAUCGGAAAGCUCGGUUGUAAGAGAAGAACGAGUGUGAGAGUGGAAAGUUCACACUGUGACGGUAUCUGACCAGAAAGGGACGGCUAACUACGUG
rnacentral:rRNA from 1 species